UACGUAGGUGGCAAGCGUUGUCCGGAAUUAUUGGGCGUAAAGCGCGCGCAGGCGGUCCUUUAAGUCUGAUGUGAAAGCCCACGGCUCAACCGUGGAGGGUCAUUGGAAACUGGGGGACUUGAAGGCAGGAGAGGGAAGUGGAAUUCCGGGUGUAGUGGUGAAAUGCGUAGAUAUCCGGAGGAACACCAGUGGCGAAGGCGACUUCCUGGCCUGUUCUUGACGCUGAGGCGCGAAAGCUGGGGGAGCAAACGGG
rnacentral:rRNA from 1 species